rnacentral:rRNA from 1 species
CACGGUCCAGACUCCUACGGGAGGCAGCAGUGGGGAAUAUUGCACAAUGGGCGCAAGCCUGAUGCAGCCAUGCCGCGUGUAUGAAGAAGGCCUUCGGGUUGUAAAGUACUUUCAGCGGGGAGGAAGGCGUUGUGGUUAAUAACCACAGCAAUUGACGUUACCCGCAGAAGAAGCACCGGCUAACUCCGUGCCAGCAGCCGCGGUAAUACGGAGGGUGCAAGCGUUAAUCGGAAUUACUGGGCGUAAAGCGCACGC